UUUUAACUUGGCAGAAUUAAUGCACCUGACUUAGGAUCAGCUUAUAGUAAACUUACUAGUUGGUAA
rnacentral:tRNA from 1 species